rnacentral:rRNA from 1 species
AUUGAACGCUGGCGGCAGGCUUAACACAUGCAAGUCGAGCGGGGGAAGGUAGCUUGCUACUGGACCUAGCGGCGGACGGGUGAGUAAUGCUUAGGAAUCUGCCUAUUAGUGGGGGACAACAUCUCGAAAGGGAUGCUAAUACCGCAUACGUCCUACGGGAGAAAGCAGGGGAUCUUCGGACCUUGCGCUAAUAGAUGGGCCUAAGUCGGAUUAGCUAGUUGGUGGGGUAAAGGCCUACCAAGGCGACGAUCUGUAGCGGGUCUGAGAGGAUGAUCCGCCACACUGGGACUGAGACACGGCCCAGACUCCUACGGGAGGCAGCAGUGGGGAAUAUUGGACAAUGGGGGGAACCCUGAUCCAGCCAUGCCGCGUGUGUGAAGAAGGCCUUAUGGUUGUAAAGCACUUUAAGCGAGGAUGAGGCUACUUUAGUUAAUACCUAGAGAUAGUGGACGUUACUCGCAGAAUAAGCACCGGCUAACUCUGUGCCAGCCGCCGCGGUAA